CCUACGGGGGGCUGCAGUGGGGAAUAUUGCACAAUGGGGGAAACCCUGAUGCAGCAACGCCGCGUGAGUGAAGAAGUAUUUCGGUAUGUAAAGCUCUAUCAGCAGGGAAGAAAAUGACGGUACCUGAGUAAGAAGCCCCGGCUAACUACGUGCCAGCAGCCGCGGUAAUACGGAGGGGGCAAGCGUUAUCCGGAUUUACUGGGUGUAAAGGGAGCGUAGACGGCAGUGCAAGUCUGGAGUGAAAGGCGGGGGCUCAACCCCCGGACUGCUCUGGAAACUGUACGGCUGGAGUGCAGGAGAGGUAAGUGGAAUUCCUGGUGUAGCGGUGAAAUGCGUAGAUAUUAGGAGGAACACCAGUGGCGAAGGCGGCUUACUGGACUGUAACUGACGUUGAGGCUCGAAAGCGUGGGGAGCAAACAGGAUUAGAUACCCGGGUAGUC
rnacentral:rRNA from 1 species